GACAUGGAAUCAACCUAAAUGUCCUUUAAUGGUGGACUGGAUAAAGAAAAUGUGGUAUAUAUACACCAUGGGAUACUAUGCAGCCAUAAAAAAGAACAAGAUCAUGUCUUUUGCAGGAACAUAGAUGGAGCUGGAGGCUGUUUUUUCUUAGCGAACAUAGAUGGAGCUGGAGGCUGUUUUUUCUUAGCAAACUAAUGCAGGAAUAGAAAAACAAAUACCACAUGUUCUCACUUACAAGCUGGAGAUGACAUGGACAUGGACACAAAGAGGGGAACAACAGACACUGGAGCCUAUUGAAGGUGGAUGAUGGAAGGAGGGAGAAGAUCAGGAAAAAUAGUA
rnacentral:lncRNA from 1 species